UGAGGAAUAUUGCGCAAUGGGGGCAACCCUGACGCAGCAACGCCGCGUGAGUGAGGAAGGUUUUCGGACCGUAAAGCUCUGUCGAGCGGGAAGAAAUGCAUGGUGGCUAAUAUCCAUCAUGCUUGACGGUACCGCUAAAGGAAGCACCGGCUAACUCCGUGCCAGCAGCCGCGGUUAUACGGGGGGGGCGCGCGUUGUUCGGAAUUUUUGGGCGUAAAGGGCGUGUAGGCGGCCGAAUAAGUUAGUUGUGAAAUCCCGGGGCUUAACCCAGGACGUGCAUUUGAAACUAUUCGGCUGGAGUAGGGGAGAGGAAAGUGGAAUUCCUGUUGUAGAGGUGAGAUUCGUAGAUAUCAGGAGGAACACCGGUGGCGAAGGCGACUUUCUGGCCCUAUACUGACGCUGAGACGCGAGAGCGUGGGUAGCAAA
rnacentral:rRNA from 1 species